UGGGGAAUAUUGCACAAUGGAGGGAACUCUGAUGCAGCGACGCCGCGUGAACGAAGAAGGCUUUCGAGUCGUAAAGUUCUUUUAUAUGGGAAGAUAAUGACGGUACCAUAAGAAGAAGCCCCGGCUAACUACGUGCCAGCAGCCGCGGUAAUACGUAGGGGGCUAGCGUUGUCCGGAAUCACUGGGCGUAAAGGGUUCGCAGGCGGAAAUGCAAGUCAGGUGUAAAAGGCAGUAGCUUAACUACUGUAAGCAUUUGAAACUGCAUAUCUUGAGAAGAGUAGAGGUAAGUGGAAUUUUUAGUGUAGCGGUGAAAUGCGUAGAUAUUAAAAAGAAUACCGGUGGCGAAGGCGACUUACUGGGCUCACUCUGACGCUGAGGAACGAAAGCGUGGGUAGCAAACAGG
rnacentral:rRNA from 1 species